GUUUGAUCCUGGCUCAGAGCGAACGUUAGCGGCGGGGCCUAACACAUGCAAGUCGAACGGGCUGUAGCAAUACAGUCAGUGGCGCACGGGUGAGUAACGCGUAGAUAAUCUACCUUCCGGCGGGGAUAACAUUCCGAAAGGAAUGCUAAUACCGCAUAAGACCACGGGGUCCUCGGGCCCUGAGGGAAAAGGUGGCCUCUCCUUGGAAGCCAUCACCGGAAGAUGAGUCUGCGUCCCAUCAGCUAGUUGGUAAGGUAAUGGCUUACCAAGGCGAAGACGGGUAGCUGGUCUGAGAGGAUGAUCAGCCACACUGGUACUGGAACACGGACCAGACUCCUACGGGAGGCAGCAGUGGGGAAUAUUGGGCAAUGGGCGAAAAGCCUGACCCAGCCACGCCGCGUGAGUGAUGAAGGCCU
rnacentral:rRNA from 1 species